GGGGUUGUUGCUCAGCGGUAGGCCACUCACCUAGCACGUGAAAGGCCCUGGGUUCAAUCCUCAGCACCACA
rnacentral:tRNA from 1 species